GCUAAAAACCUAGCCUAACAAACUCUCCCCUAUAUAUGUAUACAGUAAUCUGCUAAAAUAUUUUGACAUUCGAGUAAGGACGACUAAAAAACUUUAAAGCGCCAUAAUAAAGUACCGCAAGGGAAAGGUGAAAUAAUAAUGAAAUACCACAAAAAGCACAAAAAAGUAAAGAUUACAACUUGUACCUUUUGCAUCAUGGUUUAACUAGUUUAAUCAAGCAAAAAGAUUUUUAGUCCGACCCCCCGAAACUAAAUGAGCUACUUCAAGGCAGCUUACCGAGCUAACCCGUUCCUGUUGCAAAAGGCUGGGGUGACCUUGCAGUAGAGGUGAUAGACCUAACGAAUUUAGUGAUAGCUGGUUACUCAAGAAAAGAAUCUUAGUCCAACCUAAAGCUAACCCAUAAAAUCUACUACUACUUUAGAGCAAUUCAAAUAAGGUACAGCCUAUUUGACACAGGACACAACCUCAAACAACGGCUAACUCACAUACACUUAAACUAAGUA
rnacentral:rRNA from 1 species